GACGAACCGUGCGAACGUUGUUCGGAAUCACUGGGCUUAAAGGGCGCGUAGGCGGGUUUUCAAGUCUGUGGUGAAAGCCUCCAGCUUAACUGGAGAAGUGCCGUGGAUACUGGAGACCUCGAGGAGGGUAGGGGCAUCUGGAACAGCCGGUGGAGCGGUGAAAUGCGUAGAUAUCGGGAGGAACACCUGUGGCGAAAGCGGCGCACUGGACCAUAACUGACGCUGAGGCGCGAAAGCUAGGGGAGCAAACAGG
rnacentral:rRNA from 1 species